rnacentral:lncRNA from 1 species
CCACUAACUUCAUCAAGUCAGAUUAAAGAAAAUCAGGUAUAAACUGAUCCCGCUAAUCAGUCAUAAAUCCUUUUACUGACUUCAUCAAGUCAUAAAGAGGACUCAAGACAAGUUGAACUAAGGGCACCUAAAUCAGUCAUACUGAUUUUCUAGUUAGCAUAGGUCAAUUCCAAUCAUUAAGUAAUCUAAUCAAAAUAUGAUUCAUCAUGUUGGUCAGAUAAGUG